AGGUGCUGACUUGUCAGCUUAAUUGGGAAUUCGGUGAAAAACCGAAGCUGUUUCCGCAACUGUAAAUGCAGAUGAAAUAAGAAAAAUACCACUGUUGACCAAACGUCGAUGGGAAGGUUCUUAGAGUAAAAUGAUGCAUGAGCCAGGAGACCAGCCUUUUCUUG
rnacentral:ncRNA from 1 species